AAACCCUCUAUGUUGGUGUUCCCCAAGGUUCUGUUCUUGGUCCUCUACUGUUCUCCAUCUAUACUGCCUCCAUUGGUAAACUCAUCAGCUCCUUUGGCUUCCAUGAUCAUUUAUAUGCAGAUGACAUACAAAUUUACCUGUCCUCUCCUGAUCUCUCUCCGCCCAUCUUGACUGGUGUCUCUGACUGUCUCUCUGCAAUCUCCAACUGGAUGGCUACUCACUUCCUAAAAAAC